CAAGAAGCCGAAAGGCUACUUAAAACCAUCGCGAACUUAUCCAAGUUGCUUCGGCGGCGCGGCUCCCCUCACGGGGGACCGCAGCCCCCACCUCUCAGGAGGUAAGGGGCAGCCGCCGGAGGUACGAAACUCUGUAUUAUAGUGGUAUCUCUGAGUAUAAAACAAAUAAGUUA
rnacentral:misc_RNA from 1 species